ACCGGUUGACAUGGAGGAAAAAUGAGGAAGAUUACUCGAGUAUGCAACUUGCUUAAUGUAGUGUUGAUAAUUGUGUAAGUUGAUAAUUGUGUAAGUGUUUGACAUAAAUGUUUAUGCUUCGCUUCCUAAAGGUUUUUUGUUGCUGAAUUUGAUUGACCUAAUUAGUGAGCACUAUAUUUGGUAGUGUUGAUUCAAUUCCUAAAAGCCAUGUCCUUUAAUUUUCUCUUAAUUUGUUCAUUGUUCCCUAUUUUGUGAUGCUUUCUCUUAUGCAACCCUUAUUCUGAAUGUUCUUAAUAGGCCAAUUGAUAGCAGACUUACAUGCUUUUAUCCUUCCCAUUGCAAGUUUAUUUGAUGCAAAAACUUCAUCUACAAUGUCAGCAUCAUGAAGGCAGAGAAACUCUUCCAGAAGAAGGGACGUCCAACAAAUUUGACCCAGGAUCUCAGUUAAAGAAAUGAGAUUUAGGCAAUUUCCUAUUUUGCUCAAGAAUGUUUGGGGUUAUGGUCCGGGAACUGCAUCUUUAUAUCCGUCACAUCCAUGAGUAUUAGUUGUACCCAUAGCUGCAUCUUUAUAACUCAUAAGUUACAUUUAGUUUGGCUUCAUAACUGAUACUUGAACUUUUGCUUAGUGGGAAGCAAGCCUUAACACAGUUAAUGAGCUGAAUGGAAAGGGAAUGUGGAUAAGGAGAAUGAAUCAUAUAAAAUUUCCUUAUUUUCAUUCACCAAUUUAUGGCCUUUGCUCUUGCUAUCUCAUUUCUUGCUGAUAAAUUUAUAACUACUGAUUUGUGUUGAUUUUGGAUCUUAGAAUUAUUAAUCUGAUCAAAUAAGUAACUUUUCCAGCAUGUGGUUCAUUAUACUUUUCGUCUCCAUUUUUUUACUGAAAUUCUUGAUCUGAUGUGGAAUGGGGUUAGGAUAUAAGAUUGGUGGCAGAAUGAACAGUUCUUGGUUCAUAUAAUGAGGAUAGGGACUUUGCUGAGCUCUAUGGACAUCACUUCUCAUCCCAAUUUUAGAGUAAAAGAAAGACAUUGAUGCUCCCAACUACCAAAGAAGCAUGACGAUGAUUGAUGAUAUGAUGGAUUUGCAAGAAAUUGAGCAUGAGUUCUACACCAAGAAUAGUAUAAAAUGUGUUAUUCUAAAUACAGUUGGUGGCUACUAUACAGCUCUAAAGGACCACACUUCUUGAUAAAUGGUGGCAAAAAAGAGCAUGCAAAGAUCAAUGUUUGUUGUAAUGAUGUUUCAAGGUGUUGCCACCUAUGUAUAAGUAAAUCCUUCUCCUAUUUUGACAUGUGUUA